rnacentral:rRNA from 1 species
GACGAACGCUGGCGGCGUGCUUAACACAUGCAAGUCGAACGAAGAGCGACGGAAGCUUGCUUCUAUCAAUCUUAGUGGCGAACGGGUGAGUAACGCGUAAUCAACCUGCCCUUCAGAGGGGGACAACAGUUGGAAACGACUGCUAAUACCGCAUACGAUCUAAUCUCGGCAUCGAGGAUAGAUGAAAGGUGGCCUCUACAUGUAAGCUAUCACUGAAGGAGGGGAUUGCGUCUGAUUAGCUAGUUGGAGGGGUAACGGCCCACCAAGGCGAUGAUCAGUAGCCGGUCUGAGAGGAUGAACGGCCACAUUAGGACUGAGACACGGCCCAGACUCCUACGGGAGGCAGCAGUGGGGAAUCUUCCGCAAUGGACGAAAGUCUGACGGAGCAACGCCGCGUGAGUGAUGACGGCCUUCGGGUUGUAAAGCUCUGUUAAUCGGGACGAAAGGCCUUCUUGCAAAUAGG